rnacentral:rRNA from 1 species
GACCUGCGGAAGGAUCAUUAUUGAAAAACUUCUCAAGUUUUUAAUAUCCUAUUGUCUACCUACCAUGUUGCUUCCACUGGACGUGUUUUACCUUGUGUAAGACCUUUGGCUUGUGUGAAUAACCCAAGUCAGGGAGUUGCCAGUGGCAAGACCAUCUACCAAAACUUGAUCAAAAUACUACUGUCUGAAUCUUUUGCUUCAAUGAAAUAAAACUUUCAACAACGGAUCUCUAGGCUCUUGCAUCGAUGAAGAACGCAGUGAAAUGCGAUAAGUAAUGUGAAUUGCAGAAUCUCGUGAAUCAUCGAAUCUUUGAACGCACAUUGCGCCCUAUGGUAUUCCGUAGGGCAUGCCUGUCUGAGCGUCAGCUCCCCCCCACUCAAGUAUCUUUACUUUUUUGAUUCUUGGAAUGAUUUGGAGAGGUGCCUUGUCAUGUAGACGCCCUCCAGAAAUUCAUAGGCAGUAUGGUUUGCACCUGAACCAGACGUAAUAAUAAUAAAAUCGUUUGUUUGGGUAUGAUUGUACUUGCCUUAACCCACCCAUUUCUUUGUUUGGGUGACCUCAGAUCAGGUAGGGAUACCCGCUGAACUUAAG